UACGUAGGGUGCAAGCGUUGUCCGGAAUUAUUGGGCGUAAAGGGUGCGUAGGCGGUUCCGCAAGUCCUGUGUGAAAUCUUCGGGCUCAACUCGAAGUCUGCACGGGAAACUGCGGGGCUUGAGUGUGGGAGAGGUGAGUGGAAUUCCCGGUGUAGCGGUGAAAUGCGUAGAGAUCGGGAGGAACACCAGUGGCGAAGGCGGCCUUCUGGACCAAUACUGACGCUCAUGCACGAAAGCGUGGGGAGCAAACAGG
rnacentral:rRNA from 1 species